UACGUAGGGUGCGAGCGUUGUCCGGAAUUACUGGGCGUAAAGGGCUCGUAGGCGGCCAACUAAGUCAGACGUGAAAUCCCUCGGCUUAACCGGGGAACUGCAUCUGAUACUGGAUGGCUUGAGAUUGGGAGAGGGAUGCGGAAUUCCAGGUGUAACGGUGAAAUGCGUAGAUAUCUGGAGGAACACCGGUGGCGAAGGCGGCAUCCUGGACCAACACUGACGCUGAGGAGCGAAAGCCAGGGGAGCAAACGGG
rnacentral:rRNA from 1 species